AGAGUUUGAUCCUGGCUCAGGGUUAACGCUGGCGGCGCGCAUAACACAUGCAAGUCGAGCGAGGGCUCUUCUCCCGCAAGGGAGGGGAGUUCCUAGCGGCGAACGGGUGAGUAACACGUGGGCAACCUUUCCUAUCGCGGGGGAUAACAGCGGGAAACCGCUGCUAAUACCGCAUGUCGUCAUCGGUCGCAUGGCCGGUGAAAAAAGCAGCAAUGCACGAUGGGGUGGGCCCGCGGCCUAUCAGCUAGUCGGUGGGGUAACGGCCUACCGAGGCGAUGACGGGUAGCUGGUCUGAGAGGACGACCAGCCACACGGGGACUGAGACACGGCCCCGACUCCUACGGGAGGCAGCAGUGAGGAAUCUUCCGCAAUGGGCGAAAGCCUGACGGAGCGACGCCGCGUGUGGGAUGAAGUCCUUCGGGAUGUAAACCACUGUUGGAGGGGAAGACUUCGACGGUACCCUCCGAGAAAGCCCCGGCUAACUACGUGCCAGCAGCCGCGGUAAUACGUAGGGGGCUAGCGUUAUCCAGAAUUACUGGGCGUAAAGCGCGUGUAGGCGGCUGGUUAAGUGUGAUGUGAAAUCUUCGGGCUCAACCCGAAAACUGCAUUGCAAACUGGCCUGGCUAGAGUGCAGGAGAGGGAAGCGGAAUUCCAGGUGUAGCGGUGAAAUGCGUAGAUAUCUGGAGGAACACCAGUGGCGAAGGCGGCUUCCUGGCCUGUAACUGACGCUGAGACGCGAAAGCGUGGGGAGCGAACCGGAUUAGAUACCCGGGUAGUCCACGCCCUAAACGUUGCGAACUAGGUGUUGGUCGGAUUGACCCGAUCAGUGCCGCAGCUAACGCAUUAAGUUCGCCGCCUGGGGGACUACGGCCGCAAGGUUAAAACUCAAAGGAAUAGGCGGGGGCCCGCACAAGCAGCGGAACCGUGUGGUUUAAUU
rnacentral:rRNA from 1 species